rnacentral:rRNA from 1 species
UACGGAGGGUGCAAACGUUGCUCGGAAUUAUUGGGCGUAAAGCGCACGUAGGCGGACCAUCAAGUCGGAUGUGAAAUCCCUCGGCUUAACCGAGGACGUGCAUUCGAAACUGAUGGCCUUGAGUACGAAAGAGGAUCGCGGAAUUCCCAGUGUAGCGGUGAAAUGCGUAGAUAUUGGGAGGAACACCAGUGGCGAAGGCGGCUCACUGGACCGGAACUGACGCUGAGGCGCGAAAGCGUGGGGAGCAAACAGG